rnacentral:lncRNA from 1 species
UAUGUUGUUUGAAAACCUUAUCCAUGUCUGCUACAAAGCAAUGCAGCACUUCAAAAAGGAUUCUGAGGACAGAAAUAUUUGCAACUUACAUCACUAAUCAGCUAUAGAAUAUCAGGUGGCCUAAUGCACAGUUUUAAUUGUAGCAGUUGACGCACUCUGAACACUAUGUAGAGCUUCGAUGUUUUAAUUUCUAAAUAGAACUUCACAAGCUGAGGAGGAGUUUGGAGUUGCCUUCCUGCGGCCUCUCUCAUGCUCUUGUGUUCCUCCAUCACGCCCGUUAACAACUACGCUAGAAACAAGCAGCAGAUUUUUUUCCACUCGGAAGGCAGAGGAGGACGCUGUCCCUGUGUGCGCAUUAGUAUUCCUGGUUGUGUUCGUGGAGAGAGACCACUGCGGGGCCAGAGCCACAUGGCUGCUGCAGGUAUGGAUCUAACUGUUCUCUUCCUCUCCCUUUCCCCAGGUUUUAAGCCUUUGGCAUUAGUACUCUAGUAUAUACAUAUAUAUGAAAUAAUGCAAGCUUUAAUUUUUUGUAUAUUUAACUGUGACACCCAGAAAUACUCCCUAAAGCCCAUUUGAUUUGAGAGAGAUUUUCCAUUGCCUUGAGUAACCAUCAAAUCAGCUACAUGUUCACUUAGAAUAUUUUGUCAUUGUUUUUUUUUGGCCAGAAAAGUAGCAUCUCAGUAACUGUAUCGUUAGCGUCAGUGUGAUGGUAAAGAGGUAGCAUAACGCCUCCGUGUUAAUUACCGUUUUUACACAGCUACCUUAAAAACUUGUGCAAGUGGGGCUGCUGAAAGAUCCUCAACUCUGUCCUUGAAAAACAAACAUGGAAGGGGCCAUAAAUUAAGGUACAACUCAGACGCUCAUUGUCACUAGCCAGGGUACCAAGAUGGACCAAAAGAGCAAAAGGAGGAUUCCAUCACAGAUUUAAUUAAUCAUCAGGAAGGCUGGCAAGACAAACGCAUCUGUUAUUUCAUACAUUUCCUAACAUGAGCUGUAUGAAGGGACUGAGCUUUUUAGUUUUGCUUUGAUUAUUUUUCUUUGUAAUACAGAGAACUUAGUAGCAACUAAGUUUGUGAAUGUUUAAAAUAGUUGGCUUCCAUAGUGAAACGCUGAAGCAGAAAUUAGUUCCUGGUAUAGAAUGUGAUAUAUUUCUGAAUAAAUUAUUUAUAAUGAUGCUAAUGGUCA